ensembl:snoRNA SNORA74 Small nucleolar RNA SNORA74
CUCAGCUAUAGGCAACUGCCUAGGUUGCCUUGUUUCUAGGGAAGUGUUACCUUGCUGGGAGAAAAGCAGCCAAUAGCUGGCAACCAU